rnacentral:lncRNA from 1 species
UGGGAAGCCAUAGAAGGGAUCCCAAAAGUCGAGAGAGAAAGGAUCGAAGACGUUGGUUCUCCGGCCACCAAAGAAGCUGCUUGGAAUGAGAGACAUUUUUCUUGCUUGGUUUUUGAAAUGAGAAUUGAUGUCGGAAAAAUAAGAUAAAAUAAUGAAAAUUGAGUCGUGUUGAAUAUUGUAUUUAUUUUGUAAUUUCCUGGGUUAAACACAUCCUUCUAGAAUUUUAAUUUUCAGGAUCAGAUGAUAAGAAUUUAUAUCUUAUUUAUAACCAAGCAGAAAAUACAGGAGAGAAAAAAUAAAGUAGAAAAAAUGGAAGUAUCUUUCUUUAUAAAAAUGGAGGAUAUUUAUAGUAGAAAAAAUGACCGGGGUUAUAAAAAUAUUGAUAUAAUAUAAUAAAAUCAUAACGAUCAGAUUUAAUAUUGGAUUUAAAUCUCAUAAAUAAAAUCUUUUGAAAUCUAAACUAAUUUUAUAGUAAUCUCCCACAUAUUUUAAAAGAUUUUUCAUUGCUGAAUUAAAAAAUUUAGUGUAUAUGUUUAGAAUUUGGUGUCUUUUGAACUAUGAAUUAGACCUAGAUUAAUAAGACUUAACAUACAGAGUAAUUGGUGAAACUUUUGUUUCUAUGAAUCAAAAACUCUCUUUUGUAUUAUAAUAUCCCAUCAAUCUCAUAACACUUCACAAAUCUUAUUGUCAACGCUGUUUUGCGCUAAUAGGCUAUGUGCGCGCUUGGUAGUUCAUAAGUGCUCUAGAAAUUAUACCACAAUCUCAUAGAAGCGGCUCCACUCCAGACCUAUAUAGGUGAUAUCAUCAAGUGUAUACUGCAAUUUAUACACCACCUAUAAAGAAUAUGAAUAUCAUUAAGAGUUUUUAUCUCAUCCUCUCAUUAGUGCAGUCUAGCACUUCUUACACCAUAUGAAGGGAUAACAAUAAAUAGUGCUAGCAGAACUAACAAGUGACUUGUUAUUACCCAUAUGAACCUUUUUCAUGGGAUCUCCAAUCACAAAGGUUGGGUUUCCAUCACUAUUAAUUUCAAAUUGACUCCCAUUCCCCUCGAUGUUUCAUCUAUUAGUUUUCUCCCCAAAGGUUUAGCUAGAGAAUCGGCCAAAUUCACUUCUGACUUCACAUAAUCAAUGGAAAUAGUUUUAUCUUUCAGCAGCUGCUUAAUAACAUUAUGUCUCAGAUGAAUAUGUCUAUUUUUACUAUUGACAAUUUUAUUCUUUGAAAUGGCUAUUGCCGCUUAGCAAUUACAACGCAUUAGUACAGAUGGUGUUGGUUUUAUUCCUAACGGAAUAUUUGCUAAGAAGUUUUUUAGCCACUCAGCUUUAGUUCCAGCUAAUUCUAGAGCAAUAAACUCUGAUUCAAUAGUAGAUUUAACAAUGAUAUUUUGUUUGGUUGAUUUCCAUGUAAUUGCACCACCUCCUAGAGUAAAUACAUAACCACUAAUGAAUUUUAUCUCAUCUAAAUUUGAAAUCCAGUUAGCAUCACUGUAUCCUUCUAAUACAGCGGGAAAUUCACUAUAUAAUAUACCAUAGUUCAUGGUACCUCUCAAAUAUUUCAUUAGUCUAAUUAAUGCAGCACUAUGUUCAGUAUAACCUAUAAACAUGCAAACAUAAGUUUUUGAACCUAUUUUUCAUUUUUUAAGAUCAGGAAGAAUUAUUUCAGCAAGACACUCCCAUACUUUUAAAUAUUUUAAGUUAGGUGUAUAAUAUUUCCAAAGUUCAUAGGGUGUUUUAUCAGUUUUCUUAUAGGGUAUCCUAUUUUGUAGAUAACAAGCAGAUAAUAAAGCUUCCUUGAAAGUGAUCGUUGGAAAGAGUACUGAUAAUUGUAUGCCUACAUACCUUAUUAGAAUAGACCUAAAUUUCAUGCAACUUUGGAUCGACAGCAGUUACAGAUCUCUUGAUUCUGUGAGUGCUGAAGCAACGCCAUGCAUGCCAAGUAUUGAAAAAUUUUCUCUUGCCAUCUUUUAAAAUUCUGACCCGAAAAACCUUAAUCUUCAAGAUGUCAGGAAAAAGUUUGGCAUAUGGAACAGCAGGCAGAAGAGACCCACCAUUUGCAGCAGUAAGAAGCGUGGCGGCUGGAAGUACAGCAGAAGCAGAGGCAGUGAUAACGUCAUUGGAAGCAAAUUGUGCAAAAGUAGAGAUAGUGACAACAUUUGAUUCCAUUUGUGUGAAGAUAAAUCCUUAAGAUUGUUGAAAAAAUAGGAUAAAAAAAUGAAACUUGAGUCAUGUUAACACUGUUCUUAAGGAUUUAUUUUGUAAUCCCCUAGGAUUAAACAUGUCCUAGAAUUUAAUUUCUAAAAUCAGGACAAUAAAAAUUUAUUUUUGAUUUAUAAUCUAGCAGAAAAUACAGAGGAGAGAAAGAAUAAAGUAGAAAAAAUGGGAGUAUCUUUCUUUAUAAAGAUAAAGGUUAUUUAUAAUAAAAAAACGAUCAUUAUAAACGGUUAAAUUUAAUAUUAAAUUUAAAUUUUAUAAAUAAAAUUUUUAAUAACUAUAAAAUCUUUUAAUGAUCAUAAAAUAUUUUGAAAUUUAAACUAAUUUUAUGAUAAGAGAAAAGAACAAAAUUGCUCAGUGAAGGCUUGUUUAUAUUUGUGUAUUUCUGUGCUUAGAUCUAGGUUUGAAGAGAGGAAGGAAGGAGGUAUAUGUAGGCUGCGGUUUCUUAACUGUUAUAUGAUGAAACUUCUAGAAGUAUAUGGUUAGUUGUCGAUGGUUCACGAAGAAGGAAACAAGAGAUCUUUCUAGAAUGCGGAGGAAAUUGGAGUAAAGGAUACGUGUGUGAGUAAUUAUACAGUUAAAUUAAUAAAUUGAUAUAUAUAUAUUAAAAAAUAGACGACGAAGACUUAAAAUAUGAUAAUUAAUUUAAAUUUUUUUAAAUAAAAUUUGAGAUUGAUAGAGUUAAAUCUGAAAUUUUUUAAAUUUAUUAAGAUAUAUUAAUAUGAUAUUAAGUUUGUGAAUACAAUUAAUUUAUUUUUUUUUUAAAUUUUAUUUUUUAUACAUAUAUUUUUAUUUUAUUAGUUUAUUAUACCAUAUAAAUAUGCUGUAUAAUUUACAUGGUACAACUUUUUGUAUUUUAUAAUUUUUCCUCAUGUAGCUGCAUGCAAAAUAUAAGCUCAUGCCUCAUUCGCUCCACCAGUGGAAAAGUUCUUGAAAUUUAAGAAUAAAUAAUUAUAUCUUAUAAAAUUUAAGAUACUUGUUGAUAUUUAAAAAAUAAUAAUAAAAUAUAUUAUUAAAAAAAUAAAAUAAUUUUAUUGUUAAUAUUUUAAAUGGUAGAUAAACAGAUAAUAAAUUAUUUUAAUUACUUUUUUAUAAUUUGAUUAAUAAAUUUUAUUUUUAUUUUUUAUUUUUUUAUAUCAAAUAAUUUAUUUUAUUAUUUUAUAUAAUUAUUAACUUAUUUUAUUGGUAUUAAAUAAUAAUAAUUUAAAAAAGACAAUAUGCUAUUUGAAGACAGAGUAAGGUGGCAAGAGUCUAAUCAGGUGAUAUUCGAUUCCAUCGAGAGAAAAGAGGACUCAAAAACUUCAAGCCGGUCACAAUUUGAUUCUUCGUCAAAACUUGCCCUAUCUUGGAGAGGUCGGAUCUUCUUAGGAAAUUACCGUUAGCGCCUACAAUUCGGCAGAUUCUUUUACGCCUGUAAUCACAGGAUUUCUGAUCAAUUAGCCGAGAAGAUCUCUUAUCAAUGAACCGGCCACAUGCCCAAAUCAUAAAGGCAACUAUCUCUUUCGAAUCUAAAGAAUCGAAAAUCAGCAGGGGAUCUAUGAUUCUACAUGACACUCGCCCAAAGUAAGCAGUAAACGGUCACCAUAAGACAAGACUACGUGGUAAGAAUCUGAUAAACCUAUACGUGGUCCCAUCAUUAGAAAAGAAGACCCGGGAGAUUCAAGUCAGCCUCAAGACAGGUCGAUCUCAAGUCGAACAGACUCACCCUUUUAACUUCAGGAUGAAACUCCAUAAGAAAAUUACUAUUAACAACUAUAAUCCAGCAGAUUUUUUUUAAGCAUGUGAUAACAAGAUUCUCGAUCAAUUAGUCUAUGAAGAUCGCUUACUAAUGAUCUGGCCGCAUAAUCGUAGAAUUAUCAGGAAAUAAUAUAUUUAUUUAUAUUUUCUUAUUGUAAAAAAGAACAAUCGCGGAGAUAAAAGUACAUUAUUCUCUAAUACUAAAUCUCUAAUACUAAAUCUUUAAACAAUUCAUUGCAUUCUCUUUUCAGAUACUGGCUUUUGCGUUGGAGUGGGUGUCCACUACCUCAAGUUUUCUUUCUUGCAGGUCACAACCAAUUACAGUAUCGCUCCGUUCUGAUCAUGUCGUCCAUCUAAUUUCAACAAUAUUAUAAAUUAUUUAAUUUUUAAUUCGUGCAAAAUUUAAAAAUAGUCAUGUUUCUAAAAAAAAAGAAUUAAAAUAAUGCGUAAAAUAUAUUUUAUUUUUUAAUUUCUAAAAAAUUAAAUUAAUCAUAUUUCUGAAAAUAAUUAAAAUAAUAUGUAAAAAUUAUUUUAAUUUUUAAUUUUAACUUUUUUUAUUUUUGAAAAAUUAAAAUUAAAAUUUUUAUUUUAAAAUUAAGCUUUUCUAAGCUUACUAGAUUUUAAAAUGCAUAAUUUAUAAAAUUAAUUAGAUUUUUUUUUUAUUAUUUGAAAUGUAAUAUCUAAAUUUAAUUAUUUUAUUUUUAUUUAAUUUUUUAUGAUACUUUUAAUUUAUAUUUUUCAAUUGCACUUCCAUUAUGUUAACAAAUUUACAGUUGAAACCCAUAUUAUUUUUUAUGCGUAUUUCAUAAUUAAUAUAUCAUUGAUUAUUAAAUUAAUUUUAAUAGUUGAAUGGUAAAUUAUUAAUUAACCAAUAAAAAAAAUAGAUGGAUCGAUUGAAUUUGAUUACAAAACCAAUUAACUUAUGAUGGAUAAAGAUAAUUUAGAUUCAAAUUUAAUCCAAAUUAACCAUUAAACACCCCUACUAAAGACCCCAGGAGAUCACCACCCCUACUAAACACCCCAAGAAGAUAAACACCCCAUAGAAAUGAACCCUUUCUCAAAAAACUCUCAUAAACAAAUUAGUCUUUCAUGUAUCUCCCUCAAAAAUCACAUUCUAUAAAAGAAAAACACACUAUUAGAAGAAUAAACAAAAGAAAUUAAUAAAAAAAUAAAAAAAAUUGACCCACUCAAAUGUAGAUCUAAAUCUCUGAAUGAGAUAGGGUCUUUGAACAAGGAGCCGACAAAAGAGAGAACUUGAUUUUAGAUGAAGAAUCGGAGAAAAAGAGAAAAAUCUCACUUUAAAAUAAGAGAGAGACCAAUUAAUAAAAAAAAUUUUAAUUUCAGUUAUAGAAUUUUUUAAAAAAACAUCCGGAUAUUUUGCCGCUCAACUACAUCUUAUGCAUACAUUAAGUGAUAUAUAUAUAUAUAUCUUAUUGCUUUUAAAACGAAAUAAAGUUAUUAGUGUUACAUAACAAUCAUCCAAAGUAAGUUAUGAGCGGUCACCGUGAAACAAAUCCACUUGGCAAGAAUCAUGUGAGUAGGAAAUAUAGUCCAUCCCUAGGGAAGAAAGGUCUGGACACCAUGAUACCCGGUGCGUCAUUAAGACUCGUCUUUCACCUGUAAUCACAAGACUGUCAAUUUAUUAACUGGUAAUAUUCUUUAUCAAGUAGCCGAUCACAUUACUGUCAUAUUAUUGAAAAAUUCUAUAUUCAAUACUAUACAUUCCUACACAAAGAUAAAACUAUGUUAUUUUUUAAAUACUAAAUCUCUAAACAAUUUGUUGCAUUCUCCCUUCCAGAUAGUAACUUAGAGUAUCGAAGUUAGUGUCAUUGACACUCUACUACCACCUCACAUUUUCUUCCUUAUAAAUUAUAACUAAUCACAACACAAUUUUAAUUGAGUCACGCCGUCAAUCUAAUCUCAAUAAUAUCAAUUAUUUUAAUUAAAAAAUAUAUUAACUUUUAAUAUAUAUAUAUAUAUAUAUAUUAAUUACACUUAUAAACUUAACCUAAUAGUAAGUGCAUCUGAAUAAAUGAAAAAUCUCAGAUUUUAUUUUUUAAUCCCUAAUCCAUAUUUCAAAAAAUAUAUAUAUAUUAUUAUUUAAUUUUUAUAAUAUAAAAAAAUUUAUUAAUUUAAAAAAAAAUUAAAGUUUUAUAAAAUUUUUAAAAUAAAUAUAUUAAUUAAUUAUUUCAUUAAUUAUAACUUUUAUUAUUUUUUAGCCAUUCUGUAAUACCCGGCUUGAGUCCGGCCUCGGAAUUCCUGUCGUCUGGUGGAAUCUCGGGUGUCGGAACCCUCGAGAAGGGUCAUACAUAUGUUUUCUGAGGUAUUUUGACUUGUUUUAAGGUUUUAAGUAUAAAGGAAAAUGAGUUUUGAAAGAAAAGCAAAAAGGGAGAAAUGCAAAGGUUCGGCCGCCAAACAUUUCAUGGUUUCGGAUUCACGUUCGGCUGCCGAAGGUGGUCUGGCCAGCCACCUAUAAAAAGGGCCAAAGGGUCGGUGGAAGGAGGAUAUUUCUCCUCCACUUGCAGCCAGAGGUGAGUUCAAGCCUCUCCCAAGUUGACUUUCAUGUUUUUCAUGUUUUUCACCAAAUUUUUCAAGAGUUGUAAGAGUUUUGGUGUGUUUUGAAGGUUUUGAGUAAAAAUAGCCAGUUUGGAAGUUUGGAGCUUUGGAAGAGAUUUUCUUCAUAUCUCCACGUUAGGAUCCCUUGAUCUCUUGUUUGGAAGAGGUAAGUCAAGAUCCAGAACCUCUUUUACUGAUUUUUGAAGGUUUUAUGGGAGUUGUAUGAGGUGUAUGCAUGAAUAGGGUUUUGGUUGAGGUUUUGCAUGAGUUAGUGUUUAAGCAUGUGUAAGUGUUGUUUGAUGUGUUGUUUUGGGUUAUAAGUGAGUUUUAGGCCUUUUUAUGCAUGUUUUAUGGUAUGUGCUAGUUGGGAGUAGUUGAUAUGCAUGUUGGAUAGGUUUUGGGUAAGUUUUGCAUGAAGCAGGGCAUGGUUCUGCCCUUCGGGUAAAAGCCAGGUUCGGCCGCCGAAGGAAGGUUCGGCCGCCGAACGUGCUAAGUAGGUGGUUUCGGCUGCCUAAGCUUGCCCCCGAAAAUUGGGACUUUCGUCUCUGGAGGCAAGGUUCGGCCGCCGAAGGUGCCGCCGAAGGUAAGGGACUUUCGUCUCUGGAGAGCCUUUUGGCCUCCGAACCUUGCCCCCGAAGGGUUUUGGCCGCCGAAGAAGGGAGUUCGGCCGCCAAACAUGCAUGAGUUUCGUCUCUGGAAUGGGUUUUCGGCCGCCGAACCUGCCGCCGAAAGUGCCCUGUCCAGCCUUCCUUUGCAUGUUUUAUGUGAUUGUUCUAGGAUGGUUUAGAGGGGUUUUGGGGAGUUUCUUAGAUAUGUUCUUGAGUUAGUUUGGUCCCUCAUUUGAGUCCACCUGUGUAGGUACGGACCAGAGGAAUCAGGGAAGUCAGCAGUGAGUACUGCAGCAGAACCUGCAGCGUUAGUUCAGAGUCUAUCAGAGGUGAGUGGAACUUCUACUGUUUUAAAAUGCUUUUAGCAUCUUUCAUGCAUCAUGAUGAGUAUGGUAGGAUGAUUGCAUUAGUUUCACGAAGAUGGCGCAUUGCAUUGCAUAAUACGAUGUAUAUAAUGAUGUGGAUGGACCAAGGCGACCCCAAUAGCCCUACCUCUGUUAUGUAAGACCUGGCCGGGCCAGGCAGGCAGAGAGACUCUGUUAUAAGACCUGGCCGGGCUAGGCAGCCAUCUGUAGGUAAGACCUGACUAGGUCAGGCAGCAGAGAUAGUAAGACCUGGCCGGGCCAGGCGGGCAGAGUGAGUAAGACCUGGCCGGGCCAGGCAACUUGAGGUUAUAAGACCUGGCUAGGCCAGGCAUCCUCCUAGGAUAGGGAUUUUUGGUGGUCAUGUCUAUCUGCGACUCAGACUGGACUGGCUGUGAUGUGAGGCAUUCCAUGAGAUCAUGUUUUAUAGUUCUACUCAUUGGGCUUGUAUAGCUCAUCCCUCACCCUCUACCCCAGUCUUGCAGGUACAGGUACCAAAAAGAGUCCAGCAGGGUAUGGAAGAAGAGAAAGUAUUGUAAUAGCUAAUGUGGAUAUGAAAUUGUAAAGAGAUAGGAGUUUUGUAAUAUGAUGUAUAGAAAUGUGCUUGACCAUUGAUAGUAUCCCUUUUGUAUAUACAUGGUCAGUGUAUGUAUGUUUUAUGUUAUGUAUAUGAGAAAAUCAGGCUUAACAUUAUGAGUUUGAUCCGCCUAGAGCAAAGAUGAGAGCUCUAGUAGGGAUGUUGAUAGUACAGCGUUAGUGCAUGCACAGGUUAAGCCUUGAAACAAAAAAAAGUUGUAAUUGAAUACAGAAAAUGUAUGAUCAUGUAUGGGAUUUCACAGGUAUACAAAGUUCACAGAACGCUUGCUACGGGUCCCGGCGGCCUUAAACUGAUCUGAAUCCUAGCGCCGGUAGCAGUUCGGUAUCCGGGCUGUUACACAUUCAAUUUUAAAAAUACAUUAAAUAUCAAUUUUUCCUUCUCUUUAAGAAAAAUUUAUUAAUUUAAGAUGCGGUAAAUCGGUUAUUUGUCCCCGCGUAGGACAAUUUUUUUUCCAAACCUAAUUAAGCAAAAUGCCCAGAUCUUGCCCUCUUUCAUUUGCCGGUCUCAAUUUCAUUGCUUUAAUAACAUUUUCACCUAAAAGUUAGUAUCAAGUCUAGGAAUCUUGCUUCCUUUCUCUUUUCUCUCCUCCUUUUUCCUUUUCUUCCCCUCUUCCUUUGCCAAAUUCCUUCCCUAUUUUUGCCUCUGUUUUUCUCCUUCCUUCUCUGUUUCUUCCUUUGGCAAUCUCACUGUCACAGUCUCCUUUUGAACACAAAUUUUAAUUAAAAGUAAUUAUAUAAAAAAAAUUAUAGUAAAAAUACUUGCACUUUUUAUUAAUUUUUUAAUAAAAUAAAUUUUGAAUUAUCGAAAAAAUCUUCAACACUAAAAUUUAUUUCCAUAAAGUCUGAAAGCAUUAUGACAAUAAAACUGUAUACGAAGAAGGUGAUGGUGAUAAGUUGAAUUUGCUUACAUUUGUGUUCCACUAAUUAACAAGUAAAAAGCUUUAGUUUUUUCUGGUGAAUUCGCUCCACGAUUGCUUGGAACAUUGGGCUGUAUUAGAAACCUCACAUACUUAGCCCAGAAAUUCUCAACGCACUAAAGAAGGUAGAAAACGAAAAGAUCAAAUCUUUGUUAACAAAGAAAAUUCAGUACACUCAAAUUACAACUCCAUACGAAAGAACCACAUAACACCGAUUACAUUGCAGAUUACACUCAUCUAUAUUACUUGUUUAAUGGAAGAUAUUGUAAUUCUAAUACCUUUUUUCAGACCAAACUGCAACACCCCAUAGAUGGAAUUUGCCAUUGUUUUCAGUCAACCAGAGAUCUCAAUGGCCUUGACAUCUGGUUUCUUGACCUCCUCUUUAGGAACAGUCACUGUCAGGACUCCGUUCUCCAUGCUUGCCUUAACCUCGUCAACUUUUGCAUUCUCUGGCAGCCUGAAUCUUCUCAAGAAUUUCCCUCUUGAUCUCUCAACUCUAUGCCACUUAUCGUUCUUCUCUUCCUUCUCUUUGCUUCUCUCUCCACUUAUCUGCAAAACCCUGCCUUCUUCUACCUCCACUUUCACUUCCUCUUUCUUUAUUCCUGGAAGAUCAGCCUUGAAAACGUGAGCCUCCGGAGUUUCCUUCCAGUCUAUGCGCGCCUUGGCAAAUGCUGAAGUUUCAUUUGCGGACUCAGAGCGAGGAGCUGAGACUGAGAGAGAUGUGCUUGGGAAUGGGAAGCCAUAGAAGGGAUCCCAGAAGUCGAGAGAGAAAGGAUCGAAGACGUUGGCUCUCCGGCCACCGAAGAAGCUGCUUGGAAUGAGAGACAUUUUUCUUGCUUGGUUUUUGAAAUGGGAAUUGAGAGAAAAGAACAAGAUUGCUCAGUGAAGGCUUGUUUGUAUUUGUGUAUUUCUAUGCUUAGAUCUGCGGUUUGAAGAGAGGAAGGAAGGAGGUAUAUAUAGGGUGCGGUUUCUUAAC